rnacentral:rRNA from 1 species
GUGAGGAAUAUUGGACAAUGGGCGCAAGCCUGAUCCAGCCAUGCCGCGUGCAGGAAGACGCAUCUAUGGUGUGUAAACUGCUUUUGUACGGGAAGAAACACUCCCUCGUGAGGGAGCUUGACAGUACCGUAAGAAUAAGGAUCGGCUAACUCCGUGCCAGCAGCCGCGGUAAUACGGAGGAUCCAAGCGUUAUCCGGAAUCAUUGGGUUUAAAGGGUCCGUAGGCGGUUUAAUAAGUCAGUGGUGAAAGCCCAUCGCUCAACGAUGGAACGGCCAUUGAUACUGGUAGACUUGAAUUACAAGGAAGUAACUAGAAUAUGUAGUGUAGCGGUGAAAUGCUUAGAUAUUACAUGGAAUACCAAUUGCGAAGGCAGGUUACUACUUGUGGAUUGACGCUGAUGGACGAAAGCGUGGGGAGCGAACAGGAUUAGAUACCCGAGUAGUCC